AACUGCGAAUGGCUCAUUAAAUCAGUUAUCGUUUAUUUGAUAGUACCUUACUACAUGGAUACCUGUGGUAAUUCUAGAGCUAAUACAUGCUAAAAACCCCGACUUCAGGAAGGGGUGUAUUUAUUAGAUAAAAAACCAACGCCCUUCGGGGCUCCUUGGUGAAUCAUAAUAACUUAACGAAUCGCAUGGCCUUGCGCCGGCGAUGGUUCAUUCAAAUUUCUGCCCUAUCAACUUUCGAUGGUAGGAUAGUGGCCUACCAUGGUGGCAACGGGUAACGGGGAAUUAGGGUUCGAUUCCGGAGAGGGAGCCUGAGAAACGGCUACCACAUCCAAGGAAGGCAGCAGGCGCGCAAAUUACCCAAUCCCGAUACGGGGAGGUAGUGACAAUAAAUACUGAUACGGGGCUCUUUUGGGUCUCGUAAUUGGAAUGAGAACAAUUUAAAUCCCUUAACGAGGAACAAUUGGAGGGCAAGUCUGGUGCCAGCAGCCGCGGUAAUUCCAGCUCCAAUAGCGUAUAUUAAAGUUGUUGCAGUUAAAAAGCUCGUAGUUGAACCUUGGGUCUGGCUGGCCGGUCCGCCUCACCGCGAGUACUGGUCCGGCUGGACCUUUCCUUCUGGGGAACCUCAUGGCCUUCACUGGCUGUGGGGGGAACCAGGACUUUUACUGUGAAAAAAUUAGAGUGUUCAAAGCAGGCCUUUGCUCGAAUACAUUAGCAUGGAAUAAUAGAAUAGGACGUGUGGUUCUAUUUUGUUGGUUUCUAGGACCGCCGUAAUGAUUAAUAGGGAUAGUCGGGGGCGUCAGUAUUCAGCUGUCAGAGGUGAAAUUCUUGGAUUUGCUGAAGACUAACUACUGCGAAAGCAUUCGCCAAGGAUGUUUUCAUUAAUCAGGGAACGAAAGUUAGGGGAUCGAAGACGAUCAGAUACCGUCGUAGUCUUAACCAUAAACUAUGCCGACUAGGGAUCGGACGGGAUUCUAUAAUGACCCGUUCGGCACCUUACGAGAAAUCAA
rnacentral:rRNA from 1 species